ACUCAAUAGAUACCCAGGUAGUCCUGGCCCUAAACGAUGUCCACUAGAUCAUGGGACCUUGACGGGUCUCAUGGUCGAAAGACAAAGUGCUAAGUCGGACCGCCGUAGGGAAGUACGGUCGACAAGGACUAAAACUACAAAGGAAUUGGACGGGGCUCACACAAGCGGUGGAGCAUGUUAGGUUUAAUUCGAAGCAACGCGCAGAACCCUUACCUGGGCUUGACAUGCCAGGAUUAUCCUUAUGAAAGUAGGGUACAGCCCGCAAGGGCCGGAACUGGUACAGGUGCUGCAUGGCUGUCGUCAGCUCGUGUCGUGAGAUGUCGGGUUAAGUCCCUUAACGAGCGAAACCUUUGCCCUUAGUUACCAUCGGGUCAUGCCGGGGACUCUAAGGGGACUGCCGGUGUCAAACCGGAGGAAGGUGGAGAUGACGUCAAGUCCUCAUGGCCUUUAUGCCCAGGGCCACACACGUGCUACAAUGGGAUGCACAGAGCG
rnacentral:rRNA from 1 species